UUCACAUUUCAGCGGCAUUUCACAGUGUUUCAGGAAAAAGCAAAGAUGGCGCUCAGAGCCAGGCUGGUUCUCCCAUGAGCAAAACUCAUCGAUGGAUGCUGCACACCUGGGUCAAUUUCCCAGAGCACAGAGAAGGGUGAGGCAGGUGUGAGGUGGACCUGCAGGAGCAAAUGGAAGAUACCCAGCACAUCGGAAAAUUCAAGUAAAAGCAUAAACUAUGGCCCUAUCAAAGAGUUAACAGGCCAGGCUACUAGCACACAUUUAAAAUUACAUUUGUAAUUUUAAUGUGUUUCUAUUACAAAUCUAAUUCAUCGUGUAUGCAGAUGACUUUUCAAUUAUCUACUUAAAAAUCACCUUUUGGACCAACCAACAUGAGCUGGCAACAUCUGACUUUAAAAUCCAAAGCUGACCUUGCUGGAAGAAUAAAAUGUCUGAUUGUUAUAAUAAGCGACCUGACUGAGGUGGAUCCCAUUGCUAUGGCCCAUGACAACUCAAUAGCCAAGUUACUGUCCUAAAGACUUGAAUGGACCCUGGCCUCAAGAAGCACCCAGUCAAGACCAACAAGAAUAAGCAGUGACAAGCAUACAGACUGGUAGAGCCAUACAGAUACAUAUACAGGA